rnacentral:rRNA from 1 species
CAGCAGUCGCCGCGGGAAUACGUAGGGUGCGAGCGUUAAUCGGAAUUACUGGGCGUAAAGCGUGCGCAGGCGGUUUGUUAAGACAGAUGUGAAAUCCCCGGGCUCAACCUGGGAACUGCAUUUGUGACUGGCAAGCUAGAGUCUGGCAGAGGGGGGUGGAAUUCCGCGUGUAGCAGUGAAAUGCGUAGAUAUGCGGAGGAACACCGAUGGCGAAGGCAGCCCCCUGGGCCAACACUGACGCUCAUGCACGAAAGCGUGGGGAGCAAACAGGAUUAGAUACCCGCGUAGUCCCUGUCUCUUAUAC